rnacentral:rRNA from 2 species
AUGGUUAAGUUAGAAAGGGCGCACGGUGAAUGCCUUGGCACUAGGAGCCGAUGAAGGACGGGACUAACACCGAUAUGCUUCGGGGAGCUGUAAGUGAGCUUUGAUCCGGAGAUUUCCGAAUGGGGAAACCCACUGUUCGUAAUGGAACAGUAUCUUUAUCUGAAUACAUAGGAUAUUGAAGGCAGACCCGGGGAACUGAAACAUCUAAGUACCCGGAGGAAGAGAAAGCAAAUGCGAUUUCCUGAGUAGCGGCGAGCGAAACGGAAUUAGCCCAAACCAAGAGGCUUGCCUCUUGGGGUUGUAGGACACUCUAUACGGAGUUACAAAGGAACGAAGUAAAUGAAGCGACCUGGAAAGGUCCGUCGAAGAAGGUAACAACCCUGUAGUUGAAACUUCGUUCCCUCUUGAGUGGAUCCUGAGUACGGCGGAACACGUGAAAUUCCGUCGGAAGCUGGGAGGACCAUCUCCCAAGGCUAAAUACUACCUAGUGACCGAUAGUGAACCAGUACCGUGAGGGAAAGGUGAAAAGCACCCCGGAAGGGGAGUGAAAGAGAUCCUGAAACCGUGUGCCUACAAGUAGUCAGAGCCCGUUAACGGGUGAUGGCGUGCCUUUUGUAGAAUGAACCGGCGAGUUACGAUCCCAUGCAAGGUUAAGCUGAUAAGGCGGAGCCGUAGCGAAAGCGAGUCUGAAUAGGGCGUUUAGUAUGUGGUUGUAGACCCGAAACCAGGUGAUCUACCCAUGUCCAGGGUGAAGUUCAGGUAACACUGAAUGGAGGCCCGAACCCACGCACGUUGAAAAGUGCGGGGAUGAGGUGUGGGUAGCGGAGAAAUUCCAAUCGAACCUGGAGAUAGCUGGUUCUCUCCGAAAUAGCUUUAGGGCUAGCCUCAUGUUGUGAGAGUCUUGGAGGUAGAGCACUGAUUGGACUAGGGGCCCCCAACGGGUUACCGAAUUCAGUCAAACUCCGAAUGCCAAAGACUUAUCCAUGGGAGUCAGACUGCGAGUGAUAAGAUCCGUAGUCAAAAGGGAAACAGCCCAGACCACCAGCUAAGGUCCCCAAGUAUACGUUAAGUGGAAAAGGAUGUGGAGUUGCUUAGACAACCAGGAUGUUGGCUUAGAAGCAGCCACCAUUUAAAGAGUGCGUAAUAGCUCACUGGUCGAGUGACUCUGCGCCGAAAAUGUACCGGGGCUAAACGUAUCACCGAAGCUGUGGAUUGACAUCUUUGAUGUCAGUGGUAGGAGAGCGUUCUAAGUGCUGUGAAGUCAGACCGUAAGGACUGGUGGAGCGCUUAGAAGUGAGAAUGCCGGUAUGAGUAGCGAAAGACAAGUGAGAAUCUUGUCCACCGAAUGCCUAAGGUUUCCUGAGGAAGGCUCGUCCGCUCAGGGUUAGUCGGGACCUAAGCCGAGGCUGAAAAGCGUAGGCGAUGGCCAACAGGUUGAUAUUCCUGUACCACCUCCCCGCCGUUUGAGUAAUGGGGGGACGCAGUAGGAUAGGGUAAGCGCGCUGCUGGAUAUGCGCGUUCAAGCAGUUAGGCUGAUGAGUAGGCAAAUCCGCUCAUCAUAAAGGCUGAGCUGUGAUGACGAGGGAAUUAUAGUACCGAAGUUCCUGAUUCCACACUGCCAAGAAAAGCCUCUAGCGAGGCGGGAGGUGCCCGUACCGCAAACCGACACAGGUAGGCGAGGAGAGAAUCCUAAGGUGAUCGAGAGAACUCUCGUUAAGGAACUCGGCAAAAUGACCCCGUAACUUCGGGAGAAGGGGUGCUCUGGUAGGGUGUAUAGCCCGAGAGAGCCGCAGUGAAUAGGCCCAGGCGACUGUUUAGCAAAAACACAGGUCUCUGCGAAGCCGCAAGGCGAAGUAUAGGGGCUGACGCCUGCCCGGUGCUGGAAGGUUAAGAGGAGGGGUUAUCCUUUGGGAGAAGCUCUGAAUCGAAGCCCCAGUAAACGGCGGCCGUAACUAUAACGGUCCUAAGGUAGCGAAAUUCCUUGUCGGGUAAGUUCCGACCCGCACGAAAGGCGUAACGAUCUGGGCACUGUCUCAACGAGAGACUCGGUGAAAUUAUAGUACCUGUGAAGAUGCAGGUUACCCGCGACAGGACGGAAAGACCCCGUGGAGCUUUACUGUAGCCUGAUAUUGAAUUUUGGUACAGCUUGUACAGGAUAGGUAGGAGCCUGAGAAGCCGGAGCGCUAGCUUCGGUGGAGGCGUCGGUGGGAUACUACCCUGGCUGUAUUGAAAUUCUAACCCGCGGCCCUGAUCGGGCCGGGAGACAGUGUCAGGUGGGCAGUUUGACUGGGGCGGUCGCCUCCUAAAAUGUAACGGAGGCGCCCAAAGGUUCCCUCAGAAUGGUUGGAAAUCAUUCGUAGAGUGUAAAGGCACAAGGGAGCUUGACUGCGAGACCUACAAGUCGAGCAGGGACGAAAGUCGGGCUUAGUGAUCCGGUGGUUCCGCAUGGAAGGGCCAUCGCUCAACGGAUAAAAGCUACCCCGGGGAUAACAGGCUUAUCUCCCCCAAGAGUCCACAUCGACGGGGAGGUUUGGCACCUCGAUGUCGGCUCAUCGCAUCCUGGGGCUGUAGUCGGUCCCAAGGGUUGGGCUGUUCGCCCAUUAAAGCGGUACGCGAGCUGGGUUCAGAACGUCGUGAGACAGUUCGGUCCCUAUCCGUCGUGGGCGUAGGAAAUUUGAGAGGAGCUGUCCUUAGUACGAGAGGACCGGGAUGGACACACCGCUGGUGUACCAGUUGUCUUGCCAAAGGCAUCGCUGGGUAGCUAUGUGUGGACGGGAUAAGUGCUGAAAGCAUCUAAGCAUGAAGCCCCCCUCAAGAUGAGAUUUCCCAUAGCGCAAGCUAGUAAGAUCCCUGAAAGAUGAUCAGGUUGAUAGGUCAGAGGUGGAAGCGUGGCGACAUGUGUAGCUGACUGAUACUAAUCGAUCGAGGACUUAACUAAA